rnacentral:tRNA from 1 species
GGGCAUUUGGUCUAGUGGUAUGAUUCUCGCUUUGGGUGCGAGAGGUCCCGAGUAUUCGAUUCUCGGAAUGCCCC